CAAGGAAAUAAGGGCUUAAGGUGAAUACCUUGGCAUUCAGAAGCGAAGAAGGACGUGGUUACCGGCGAAACGCCUCGGGGAGUUGGAAACAAGCUUUGAUCCGGGGGUAUCCGAAUGAGGCAACUCUUUAAAACUUCUUGUUGAAUCUAUAGGCAAGAAAGAGCGAACCUGGAGAAUUGAAACAUCUUAGUAACCAGAGGAAUAGAAAGUAAAAACGAUUCUCUUAGUAGCGGCGAGCGAAAUGGGAACAGCCUAAACUUUUCAAAAUAAUAAAUAAAUAAUGAAAAGGGUAGUGGGACUAAACAGUAAAUAAAGAUAAAAAACAGCUAGGAGAAUAAACUGGAAAGUUUAACCGAAGAAAGUGAUAGUCUUGUAACCGAAAGCUCUGUUUUCUCUUAAGUUUUUUCCCAAGUAGCAUGAGGCACGUGGAAUCUCGUGUGAAUCUGCGAGGACCACCUCGUAAGGCUAAAUAUUCCUGAAUGACCGAUAGUGAACUAGUACCGUGAGGGAAAGGUGAAAAGAACCCCGG
rnacentral:rRNA from 14 species